rnacentral:rRNA from 1 species
GACGAACGCUGGCGGCGUGCUUAACACAUGCAAGUCGAACGGAAAGGCCCUUCUUGCAGGUUGCACUCGUGUCGAACGGGUGUGUAACACGUGUGUGAUCUGUCCCUUAUAUUUGGAUAUACCUGUGAAACUGUGUCUCUUAUUGCAUAUGGCCCUGCUGUUGGUGUUGUGGUGGAGAGAUUAUUUUCGGUAAGGGAUGAGCUCGCGGCCUAUCAGCUUGUUGGUGGGGUAAUGGCCUACCAAGGCGUCGACGGGUAGCCGGCCUGAGAGGGUGGACGGCCAAAUUGGGAACGAGGAAAGGGCCAGGAUCCUUAGGGAGGGAGCAGUGGGGAUUAAUGGAAAAAGGGGGGAAGCCUGAAGGAGCGGAGGCGGGGGGGGGAUGAAGGGCUUCGGGUUGUAAACUCCUUUCAGCCAUGACGAAGGCGUAGUGGUGACGGUAGUGGGAGAAGAAGCACCGGCUAACUACGUG